UUGUCUUUUAACUGGCCCCUGGUGAUCUCUGUCGCUGCUUGAUAACUUCCCAGCCAAGAACUGAGCAGUUUUCAGGGCACUUUACUUUACAGAGCUAUCAAGGUCCCUGCUUGAGGUGUCACGUGGCUGCUGAGACCAUGAAAAGCUCCCUCUGGUUUGAGUGUCACCAAGCUGUGAUGACCCUCAGAGACGAUGGCAGAGGAUUCAUUACAUCAGUUUCUCAGUAACAUCUUUCCCUCCUCAUCCCACUUUAUGAAGCCUUUUAUGUUUUCCAGGAUGGAGGAGAAAUGGGUGCAACCCCCCCACAGACCUUAACUUGAUCAGCCAGAAAAAAGCAGCAGUGGAUGGAGAGGAGAAGGCAUGCCUGAUGGCCACAUCAUUCAUCAGCCAAUCCAUCCUGUUCCACUGAAGAGCUACAUGAAAGGUGGAGGAAGAAUCAAUAUCAGGCUGAGCAUGCCCCAGCUAAACCCACUUUUUACAUCUCUGGUGUUUGUACACAGUGGCACAACGGGGAAUUAAAGCUGUAUCUCCCAUGUUAAGUGUCCUAGAAGGUUUGU